GGCCCCAUAGUUAAAUGGAUAUAAUAGUCCCCUCCUAAGGGAUAGUUGCAGGUUCGAUUCCUGCUGGGGCCGCCA
rnacentral:tRNA from 1 species